ensembl:lncRNA
GACUGGCUAACCGAGGCAGUGGAACUCAAUGCUAAAGGAGGCAGAGAUGAUCGCAACUAUCUAUGGGUGUCGCUGAAAAUGCGGUCUGAAAACCCGUUUCUGUCCCUGGUCCUGCCCAGUAUACUGAUCAUUGUGGCAGAUGUGGUGAGCUUCUCCCUGCCACUGGGAGGGGGCGAGCGUAUCUCAUUCAAGGUUACACUGGUUCUCAGCUUCAUCAUGUUCCUCAUCAUCCUCAACGACCUACUGCCUGGAGGAGGCCAGUGCAGCCCCAUCAUCCGAAAGCACUUCUGUUUCUGUUUGGUCAUCCUGGUGUUGAGCACGUUGCAGUCUAUGGUGCUCACACGCCUGGCUAAGUGUGGCACUCUCUGGCCCUGCAGCCUCUCCAAGUCCAAAGACUCACUACUUAAAGACACAGACAAUG